AGUGUGUGCCUUACUAUGUGUGAGGAGGUGCUGUCUUGCUUUCAGUGUGUAAAUAUCAUGCCUUGAUGGAGAAACUGCAGCAGAGAGGCCCCGCUGCCCCAGCACAUCUGUCACAGCCCACACAACACCUCCAGAGUGAGAGCAACAAAUUCAACGAACUGCCAAGUUGUCUGUACCACCUGGGUGCAAGCAGGAAUGAAGAAACUGGCCCAGAGAGGUGAAACAACCCAGCCGAUGUCAUGUCGUAGCUAAGAUGACAGCUGUUGGCCUGUACCUCGGCCCUCAAGUUUCCCAUGCAAUGUGCUUCCUACUAUUCAUUGUUGCCCCGUCUCUAGGUUGUUAUCAAAUGGACCCUGCCAGACUGAAUUUCUUCCUGCAAAGAGGACAGUCCAGGUCUGCUGAUGGGUUUCCAACACAGGAAACUCAGGGGUUCUAAUACCUCCUCUUGACCCAGUAACUGACAAGCCCUGAGCCUCAGGAUUCCUGGCCCUGUCCCCUCUCACCUCCUCUGCCAAACCAUGGUACUAGAAGAAAAUUACAAGAGAAAAUAUGACACAAAUUGUGAAAAUGGUAUACAGCAGCUCAGCUUUGGGAAACGUGAGUCCUGUCUGCUUAUGGAUGUAUCGAUUCAUGGGUAUUACACUUGUCUCCCAAGUUGCUUGCUGAUGCUUUCAAGGUCAGGUAAUAACAUUCUCCAAGGAACUAAGCGGAGUGGCUGUCCUCAUUUCUCCCCUGACCUGCAGGCUGGCUGGCUGGUUGCCUUGCUUCUGGGAGAUGGCCAGGCAGCCUGUUGCUCCCUGUGCCCCUCACCGACCAGGCAGCUCACUCCCUUUGUGGCAGCCUCAUG
rnacentral:lncRNA from 1 species